GAUGAACGCUGGCGGCGUGCCUAAUACAUGCAAGUCGAGCGAACAGACGAGGAGCUUGCUCCUCUGACGUUAGCGGCGGACGGGUGAGUAACACGUGGAUAACCUACCUAUAAGACUGGGAUAACUUCGGGAAACCGGAGCUAAUACCGGAUAAUAUAUUGAACCGCAUGGUUCAAUAGUGAAAGACGGUUUUGCUGUCACUUAUAGAUGGAUCCGCGCCGCAUUAGCUAGUUGGUAAGGUAACGGCUUACCAAGGCAACGAUGCGUAGCCGACCUGAGAGGUGUAUCGGCCACACUGGAACUGAGACACGGUCCAGACUCCUACGGGAGGCAGCAGUAGGGAAUCUUCCGCAAUGGGCGAAAGCCUGACGGAGCAACGCCGCGUGAGUGAUGAAGGUCUUCGGAUCGUAAAACUCUGUUAUUAGGGAAGAACAAAUGUGUAAGUAACUAUGCACGUCUUGACGGUACCUAAUCAGAAAGCCACGGCUAACUACGUG
rnacentral:rRNA from 1 species